UGGGGAAUCUUGCGCAAUGGGCGAAAGCCUGACGCAGCAACGCCGCGUGCGGGAUGAAGGCCUUCGGGUUGUAAACCGCUUUCAGCAGGGACGAACGUGACGGUACCUGCAGAAGAAGCGCCGGCUAACUACGUGCCAGCAGCCGCGGUAAUACGUAGGGCGCAAGCGUUGUCCGGAAUUAUUGGGCGUAAAGAGCUCGUAGGCGGUUUGUCGCGUCUGCUGUGAAAACCCGAGGCUCCACCUCGGGCUUGCAGUGGGUACGGGCAGACUAGAGUGCGGUAGGGGAGACUGGAAUUCCUGGUGUAGCGGUGGAAUGCGCAGAUAUCAGGAGGAACACCGAUGGCGAAGGCAGGUCUCUGGGCCGCAACUGACGCUGAGGAGCGAAAGCAUGGGGAGCGAACAGG
rnacentral:rRNA from 2 species